CAGGGAUUGCCCUAGUAACGGCGAGUGAAGCGGCAACAGCUCAAAUUUGAAAUCUGGCUACAUUCCGUGGUCCGAGUUGUAAUUUGUAGAGGAUGCUUUUGGUGAGGUGCCUUCCGAGUUCCCUGGAACGGGACGCCAUAGAGGGUGAGAGCCCCGUACGGUUGGACACCAAACCUCUGUAUAGCUCCUUCAACGAGUCGAGUAGUUUGGGAAUGCUGCUCUAAAUGGGAGGUAUAUCUCUUCUAAAGCUAAAUAUAGGCUAGAGACCGAUAGCGCACAAGUAGAGUGAUCGAAAGAUGAAAAGCACUUUGAAAAGAGAGUUAAACAGCACGUGAAAUUGUUGAAAGGGAAGCGCCUAUGACCAGACUUGUUUCUGGCAGUUUCGUUAGCCCUCGGGCUGAUUUACUCUGUCCAGUACAGGCCAGCAUCAGUUUGCUGUCGGGGAGAAAGGCUCUGGGAACGUAGCUCCCUCCUUCGGGGGGGAGUGUUAUAGCCCUCUGCAUAAUACCCUUCGGCAGACUGAGGACCGCGCUUCGGCAAGGAUGCUGGCGUAAUGGUCAUCAGCGACCCGUCUUGAAACACGGACCAAGGAGUCAACCUUAUGUGCGAGUGUUUGGGUGUAAAACCCCAGCGCGUAAUGAAAGUGAACGUAGGUGAGAGCUUCGGCGCAUCAUCGACCGAUUCUGAUGUUUUCGGAUGGAUUUGAGUAAGAGCACACAGGGUUGGACCCGAAAGAAGGUGAACUAUGCUUGUAUAGGGUGAAGCCAGAGGAAACUCUGGUGGAGGCUCGCAGCGGUUCUGACGUGCAAAUCGAUCGUCAAAUAUGAGCAUGGGGGCGAAAGACUAAUCGAACCUUCUAGUAGCUGGUUCCAGCCGAAGUUUCCCUCAGGAUAGCAGUGUUGAAUUUUCUUCAGUUUUAUGAGGUAAAGCGAAUGAUUAGGGACUCGGGGGCGCUAUAUUGCCUUCAUCCAUUCUCAAACUUUAAAUAUGUAAGAAGCCCUUGUUACUUAAUUGAACGUGGGCAUUCGAAUGUAUCAACACUAGUGGGCCAUUUUUGGUAAGCAGAACUGGCGAUGCGGGAUGAACCGAUCGCGUGGAUAAGGCGCCAGAGUGAACGCUCAUCAGACACCACAAAAGGUGUUAGUACAUCUUGACAGCAGGACGGUGGCCAUGGAAGUCGGAAUCCGCUAAGGACUGUGUAACAACUCACCUGCCGAAUGUACUAGCCCUGAAAAUGGAUGGCGCUCAAGCGUUCCGCCCAUACCACGCCCUCAGGGUAGGAUCUAUGCCCUGAGGAGUAGGCUGGCGUGGAGGUCGUGACGAAGCCUAG
rnacentral:rRNA from 1 species